rnacentral:rRNA from 1 species
GACGAACGCUGGCGGCGUGCUUAACACAUGCAAGUCGAACGGAAAGGCCCUGCUUUUGUGGGGUGCUCGAGUGGCGAACGGGUGAGUAACACGUGAGUAACCUGCCCUUGACUUUGGGAUAACUUCAGGAAACUGGGGCUAAUACCGGAUAGGAGCUCCUGCUGCAUGGUGGGGGUUGGAAAGUUUCGGCGGUUUGGGAUGGACUCGCGGCUUAUCAGCUUGUUGGUGGGGUAGUGGCUUACCAAGGCUUUGACGGGUAGCCGGCCUGAGAGGGUGACCGGCCACAUUGGGACUGAGAUACGGCCCAGACUCCUACGGGAGGCAGCAGUGGGGAAUAUUGCACAAUGGGCGGAAGCCUGAUGCAGCAACGCCGCGUGCGGGAUGACGGCCUUCGGGUUGUAAACCGCUUUCGCCUGUGACGAAGCGUGAGUGGCGGUAAUGGGUAAAGAAGCACCGGCUAACUACGUG